ACUCAAAGGAAUUGACGGGGGCCCGCACAAGCGGUGGAGUAUGUGGUUUAAUUCGACGCAACGCGCAGAACCUUACCCAGGCUUGACAUGGAGGGAAUCUGGUGGAAACACCGGAGUGCCUGGUUUACCAGGAGCCCUCACACAGGUGCUGCAUGGCUGUCGUCAGCUCGUGUCGUGAGAUGUUGGGUUAAGUCCCGCAACGAGCGCAACCCUCGCUAGUAGUUGCCAUCAUUCAGUUGGGCACUCUACUGGGACUGCCGGUGUUAAACCGGAGGAAGGUGGGGAUGACGUCAAGUCCUCAUGGCCUUUAUGCCUGGGGCUACACACGUACUACAAUGGCCGGUACAGAGGGCAGCCAGCCAGCGAUGGUGAGCCAAUCCCAAAAAACCGGCCCCAGUUCAGAUUGCAGUCUGCAACUCGACUGCAUGAAGGCGGAAUCGCUAGUAAUCGCCGAUCAGCACGCGGCGGUGAAUACGUUCCCGGGCCUUGUACACACCGCCCGU
rnacentral:rRNA from 1 species